rnacentral:rRNA from 1 species
UACGUAGGGACCAAGCGUUGUUCGGAUUUACUGGGCGUAAAGGGCGCGUAGGCGGCGUGACAAGUCACUUGUGAAGUCUCUGAGCUUAACUCAGAACGGCCAAGUGAAACUGUUGUGCUAGAGUGCAGAAGGGGCAAUCGGAAUUCUUGGUGUAGCGGUGAAAUGCGUAGAUAUCAAGAGGAACACCUGAGGUGAAGACGGGUUGCUGGGCUGACACUGACGCUGAGGCGCGAAAGCCAGGGGAGCAAACGGG